UGAGGGUUAGCCAAGAGGUAAGGCAUCUGGCUUUGAACCAGACAAGCGCGUGUUCGAAUCACGUACUCUCAG
rnacentral:tRNA from 1 species